AAAAUAAAAGAUAAAAAAACAAAAAAAAAAAACCCUGAGCCCCCAUCUCAUUCCCUCUCCCCUCCUUUCGUGAAACCCAAAGCGGUCACCCUUCCUCCCUUCUACAGCGACCUAGCACCCACGCCAACGGCAGCAGCAGCGCAGCUAAUCUUCGGUGACCCAUGGCUGCGGCAGCGACUUUACAAGUGCGCACGACCCAAUUAGACGAACCCCAACGACUUCUUGAUGACGGGCGCAACUCCAGUGGCUCCUCGCCGUCCGUUGCUCAUGAGAUCGAUAUGGCGACUCUUUUCCAGGGGCUUGGAGCUAGGAAGGCUCUGUCACCUCCAAACUCCUUAGAUUCCAAUAAAUUCCUGCCCAGAUCGCUCUUUGCUUUCAAUACUUUCUCUCAUCGUUCUCCUUUAAUUUCGUUUACGAGGGAAUUCGAGGAUGUAAUCUCACCGCAGCUUGUUUUGGUUUGAUUUAGAGAGGAAUCUGAUGGAAACGUUAACCAUGUUCUAAAACCAAGAAUCUCCCUCAGAACGAGAAUUUGAUCACUAAUGCAGUUGCAGUGGUUGGGGUGGAUAGUUGUUAAAAUCUAUAAACGAAAGUGAUAUCUUGAAGGCCUUGUCAUUGCUUCCCUACUAAUUUUUUAGUAGGAUCGUACAUUCUUACCAGAAAUUUGAAUCCUCGCCCAGAUUAUUAGUGUUUGAGAUGAAUGAAGAGAAGUUCAGAAGUCAUUUGAGUGGCAACUAUGGAUGUUGGUUUUACCCUUAUACAAUCAACAAGGUUAGCUUUUACAUGUGGUUCAAUCCAAAAAAGGUGUAUACCCAAGCCGAACUUGAUGAGGUACGGGAUGAGUGGGUUGGAUUCAUUGUGAACUACGUUUAGUUGGAUAGAGAUAGUAAAUAUAAAUAUAAUUUUAUUACUUUAGCUUUUAAUAUGUAAAGUCCUGAACCAUUUAUGUAUCUUCAUAUCCAUUGGUUGUAUCAGUGGGCUACAUUUCGCUCAGUUUGUUCAUUAUUUUAACACUUCUUAAUGAAUUAAAUUAUUACUUAAUGAAUUAGAUAAUAGAGAAUGAUUGAUGUA